AAUUCCAGCUCCAAUAGCGUAUAUUAAAGUUGCUGCAGUUAAAAAGCUCGUAGUUGAAUUUCGGGACCAAUAUGUCGGUCGUGCUUCGGUACGUACUGUCAUAAUUGGUUUCUCCCUUCUGAAGAACCUUGAUGUCAUUAAUUUGGUGUCUUGGGGAAUCAGGACUGUUACUUUGAAAAAAUUAGAGUGUUUAAAGCAGGCUCGCGCUUGAAUACAUUAGCAUGGAAUAAUGAAAUAGGACGUUUGAUUCUAUUUUGUUGGUUUCUAGGAUCGACGUAAUGAUUAAUAGGGAUAGUUGGGGGCAUUAGUAUUCAAUUGUCAGAGGUGAAAUUCUUGGAUUUAUUGAAGACUAACUACUGCGAAAGCAUUUGCCAAGGAUGUUUUCAUUAAUCAAGAACGAAAGUUAGGGGAUCGAAGACGAUCAGAUACCGUCGUAGUCUUAACCAUAAACUAUGCCGACUAGGGAUCGGAUGAUGUUAAUUUUUUUAAUGACUCAUUCGGCGCCUUACG
rnacentral:rRNA from 1 species